UAAUCUAUAUGUGGCAAAUUUUUAUCUAAUUGUGAUAGAUCCACACCUAACUGCUCAGAAACACUUGUUAUUAUAAGCUCGACUAUAUUAUUGACACUGGAAAAUAGAUGACAACUACUGUGUGAUUAAUAAUUAUUUAAGAU
rnacentral:pre_miRNA from 13 species